CUGUACAGUUCAGAGUUUGAUCCUGGCUCAGGACGAACGCUGGCGGCGUGCCUAACACAUGCAAGUCGAACGGGGUGAUUUCCUUCGGGGGAUCACUUAGUGGCGAACGGGUGAGUAACGCGUGAGAAACCUGCCUUUCAGUGGGGGACAACAGUUGGAAACGACUGCUAAUACCGCAUAACGCAUUUAGGGGGCAUCCCUUGAAUGCCAAAGCUUUAUGUGCUGAAAGAUGGUCUCGCGUCUGAUUAGCUAGUUGGUGGGGUAACGGCUCACCAAGGCGACGAUCAGUAGCCGGUCUGAGAGGAUGAACGGCCACAUUGGGACUGAGAUACGGCCCAG
rnacentral:rRNA from 1 species